rnacentral:rRNA from 1 species
AGCGAACGCUGGCGGCAGGCCUAACACAUGCAAGUCGAACGAACCCUUCGGGGUUAGUGGCGGACGGGUGAGUAACACGUGGGAACGUGCCUUUAGGUUCGGAAUAACUCAGGGAAACUUGUGCUAAUACCGAGUGUGCCCUUCGGGGGAAAGAUUUAUCGCCUUUAGAGUGGCCCGCGUCUGAUUAGCUAGUUGGUGAGGUAAUGGCUCACCAAGGCUACGAUCAGUAGCUGGUCUGAGAGGAUGACCAGCCACAUUGGGACUGAGACACGGCCCAAACUCCUACGGGAGGCAGCAGUGGGGAAUCUUGCGGAAUGGGCGAAAGCCUGACGCAGCCAUGCCGCGUGGAUGAUGAAGGUCUUAGGAUUGUAAAAUCCUUUCACCGGUGAAGAUAAUGACUGUAGCCGGAGAAGAAGCCCCGGCUAACUUCGUGCCAGCCGCCGCCGUAACAC